UAGGGAAUCUUCGGCAAUGGGGGGAACCCUGACCGAACAACGCCGCGUGAGUGAAGAAGGUUUUCGGAUCGUAAAGCUCUGUUGUUAAGGAAGAACGAGUGUGAGAAUGGAAAGUUCAUACUGUGACGGUACUUAACCAGAAAGGGACGGCUAACUACGUGCCAGCAGCCGCGGUAAUACGUAGGUCCCGAGCGUUGUCCGGAUUUAUUGGGCGUAAAGCGAGCGCAGGCGGUUAGAAAAGUCUGAAGUGAAAGGCAGUGGCUCAACCAUUGUAGGCUUUGGAAACUGUUUAACUUGAGUGCAGAAGGGGAGAGUGGAAUUCCAUGUGUAGCGGUGAAAUGCGUAGAUAUAUGGAGGAACACCGGUGGCGAAAGCGGCUCUCUGGUCUGUAACUGACGCUGAGGCUCGAAAGCGUGGGGAGCGAACAGG
rnacentral:rRNA from 1 species